rnacentral:snoRNA from 1 species
AAUCCGUGGUGUAGGCAUUUUUAAAUUAGCGUCUUAAAAUGCUCCCAUGAUUCUUGAAAACUUUUCCCUUCUAACUGUUUAAACAUCAAAAUUUCCCUUCUUAGUUG